rnacentral:rRNA from 1 species
AAGUUCUUCGGAACGAGUAGAGCGGCGGACGGGUGAGUAACGCGUGGGAAAUUGCCCAGUAGUGGGGGACAACAUUCGGAAACGGAUGCUAAUACCGCAUACGCCCUACGGGGGAAAGCAGGGGAUCUUCGGACCUUGUGCUAUUGGAUAUGCCCGCGUCGGAUUAGCUAGUUGGUGAGGUAAUGGCUCACCAAGGCAACGAUCCGUAGCUGGUCUGAGAGGAUGAUCAGCCACACUGGGACUGAGACACGGCCCAGACUCCUACGGGAGGCAGCAGUGGGGAAUAUUGGACAAUGGGCGCAAGCCUGAUCCAGCCAUGCCGCGUGUGUGAAGAAGGCUCUAGGGUUGUAAAGCACUUUCAGUAGGGAGGAAGGCCUUAAAGUUAAUACCUUUGAGGAUUGACGUUACCUACAGAAGAAGCACCGGCUAACUCCGUGCCAGCAGCCGCGGUAAUACGGAGGGUGCGAGCGUUAAUCGGAAUUACUGGGCGUAAAGCGCGCGUAGGCGGUUAGUUAAGCUGGAUGUGAAAGCCCCGGGCUCAACCUGGGAACUGCAUUCAGAACUGGCUGGCUAGAGUACGAGAGAGGGUAGUGGAAUUUCCUGUGUAGCGGUGAAAUGCGUAGAUAUAGGAAGGAACAUC